UACAGAGGGUGCGAGCGUUAAUCGGAAUUACUGGGCGUAAAGGGUGCGUAGGUGGUUAAAUAAGUUAGGUGUGAAAUUCCCGGGCUUAACCUGGGGACUGCGCCUAAUACUGUUUAGCUAGAGUAUUGUAGAGGAAAGUGGAAUUUCCGGUGUAGCGGUGAAAUGCGUAGAUAUCGGAAGGAACAUCAGUGGCGAAGGCGACUUUCUGGACAAAUACUGACACUGAGGCACGAAAGCAUGGGGAGCAAACAGG
rnacentral:rRNA from 1 species